UACGUAGGUGGCAAGCGUUAUCCGGAAUUAUUGGGCGUAAAGCGCGCGCAGGUGGUUUCUUAAGUCUGAUGUGAAAGCCCACGGCUCAACCGUGGAGGGUCAUUGGAAACUGGGAGACUUGAGUGCAGAAGAGGAAAGUGGAAUUCCAUGUGUAGCGGUGAAAUGCGUAGAGAUAUGGAGGAACACCAGUGGCGAAGGCGACACGCUGGGCCGUACCUGACACUGAUGCGCGACAGCAUGGGGAGCAAACAGG
rnacentral:rRNA from 1 species